GCGGGUGUAGUUCAGUGGUAGAACGUCAGCUUCCCAAGCUGAAUGUCGUGGGUUCGAGUCCCAUCGCCCGCU
rnacentral:tRNA from 1 species